UCGACGGUGACCCUCCCACCACUCCCCCAGCCUUCCAGCAACAGCGAGGUCUCUACCCCAGAGUCCCACCAGCCCUUUCUCGGGAGGAGUGGCGACAGGUCUCCGGGGAACCCAAGUGUCCGGGUCUCCAGGGCUCUGAUCGCCUCUUUCCGACACCCCACCCCGGCUCUAGGGCAGGGCGUCCACCUAGCGGCCGCCCCUCCACCGGUGUCCGCGGGGGACUGGGGACCAGGGCGCGGCCCGGGGUCUGCGGCCCCAGGUGGGCAGCGCGCGGCUGUCCGCUCCCAUAGCUCCCGCCUCCCGGGCCGCAGCCCGCCGCCCCGGCCCCGCGCCUUUUUCUCUCUUUAUCAUAAAUAUAUAAAUUAUGCUAAUUACGGGCAUUGCAUAUUAACCAAAUCCGAAACCUCCCCUGCCCGGCCCCUCCCCCUCCGUGCAAAGCCCCCGCCCCGGACCCCGCUACUCACCGGAGCCCGAAGCCCAGCCUCCCGCUCCCCGGCUGCCCAGCAGCCACGGUCUAGACACUCAUGUCCCAGCCCGGGCCAGGGGGCCGCGGCCGAGGCGGCCGCCCGCAGACAAAGAAGCCGGAGCGGCUCGGCCCGGCUCGCUCGGCCCGGAGCCACUCGGGACCCGCCGCCCCCCGGCCCCCGGCGGGGCUGGGUGAGCAGAGCGGCGGUGGGUGGCGGGCCAGUUGCGGGCCGGGACGCCGGGGCGGGGGCGGCCAGGUGCAGUCCCCUCCUCGCCCCCUCCUCCCUCCCCCCCUUUCCCUCCUUCUGCUACUUGGAUUUUUUUAGCUGCUGCGUCAUGAGCAUAAUUUAUGCAAAGCGCUUUGCCGCAUGCUGCACCUCCCGCGCCAGCCGCCGGGGGCGGCGGUCAGGAAAGGGAGGGGGUCCGGGGAGCGGCGAGCGGCGCGUGGGGGCGGGGAGGAACCCCAGGCCCCGCCGGGGCUGGGACCCAGGGCCUUGGGGCGGCUUGACUCAGACUUCUCUGACAGUGGGACUGGAGUCUCGAUCGAUCGGUGACCCAGUGCUGCCUUUCCUUCAGCCGAGGAUUGGGGCAGUGACCCCUGUAACUCUCCUGGUAGUCAACUGCCCUUCUCGACGGCGAACCUCAAGUUCUAGUCUUUCCUCCAGCCUGGGAAAGGAAUGGGAACGCGGACACUCGGGCUCAGCGGCGCAGGGUCUCGGGAGCAACGGUGCCCUCGUGGCACAUCCCAGAGGGGACCAAGGUCCUCAACGCUCUACCUUCGUGGAGGGGUGGAGUCCUACCCACAGUCAAGUUCGAGAAGGUGUGAAAAGAAAGACAAAGUUUGGUGUAAUGGAGAAAAACACGCCACUGUUUCGGUGA
rnacentral:lncRNA from 1 species